rnacentral:rRNA from 1 species
UACGGAGGGGGCGAGCGUUAUUCGGAAUUAUUGGGCGUAAAGGGCGCGUAGGCGGCCCGGUAAGUCAAAGGUGAAAUCCCUCGGCUCAACUGAGGAACUGCCUUUGAAACUGUCGGGCUUGAGGCCGGGAGGGGGUAGCGGAAUUCCCAGUGUAGCGGUGAAAUGCGUAGAUACUGGGAGGAACACCAGUGGCGAAGGCGGCUACCUGGACCGGUUCUGACGCUGAUGCGCGAAAGCGUGGGUAGCAAACGGG